rnacentral:rRNA from 1 species
CCCUUAGAUGUUCUGGGCUGCACGCGCGCUACACUGAUGCGAUCAACGAGUUUUACCUUUCUCGGUAGAGAUGGGCAACCUUUUGAACUCGCAUCGUGAUGGGGAUAGAUUAUUGUAAUUAUUAAUCUUCAACGAGGAAUUCCUAGUAGGUGCAAAUCAUCAGUUUGCAUCGAUUACGUCCCUGCCCUUUGUACACACCGCCCGUCGCUGCUACCGAUUGAGUGUCCUGGUGAAUUAUUCGGACCGACAGCAUCGGAAGUUUCUUCUGUUGCCGUUGGAAAGUCUUGUAAACCCUGACACUUAGAGGAAGCAGAANUCGUANCA